AACGAACGCUGGCGGCGUGCCUAAUACAUGCAAGUCGAGCGAACAGACGAGGAGCUUACUCCUCUGACGUUAGCGGCGGACGGGUGAGUAACACGUGGAUAACCUACCUAUAAGACUGGGAUAACUUCGGGAAACCGGAGCUAAUACCGGAUAACAUGUUGAACCGCAUGGUUCAACAGUGAAAGACGGUCUUGCUGUCACUUAUAGAUGGAUCCGCGUCGCAUUAGCUAGUUGGUAAGGUAACGGCUUACCAAGGCAACGAUGCGUAGCCGACCUGAGAGGGUGAUCGGCCACACUGGAACUGAGACACGGUCCAGACUCCUACGGGAGGCAGCAGUAGGGAAUCUUCCGCAAUGGGCGAAAGCCUGACGGAGCAACGCCGCGUGAGUGAAGAAGGUCUUCGGAUCGUAAAACUCUGUUAUUAGGGAAGAACAAAUGUGUAAGUAACUAUGCACGUCUUGACGGUACCUAAUCAGAAAGCCACGGCUAACUACGUG
rnacentral:rRNA from 1 species